rnacentral:tRNA from 1 species
GCCCUCGUGGAGUAGUGGAUAUCUCGCCCGGCUCUAAACCGGGAGGUCGUGGGUUCAAAUCUCACCGAGGGUA